CUUGUCCCUAGAAUCAUUACAGGUGUGUUGCUGUGUGUUAUGUGUACAUCAGUAGGUGGCAGAGAGGAGAGACAGAUGCUAUGUCUACACUCAGUGUUUUGACGUAUGAACAUCUGAAUGGCUAGUAGCCUAACAUU